rnacentral:rRNA from 1 species
GAUGAACGCUGGCGGCGUGCUUAACACAUGCAAGUCGAACGAAGCACUUUAUUUGAUUUCCUUCGGGACUGAUUAUUUUGUGACUGAGUGGCGGACGGGUGAGUAACGCGUGGGUAACCUGCCUUGUACAGGGGGAUAACAGUUGGAAACGGCUGCUAAUACCGCAUAAGCGCACAGCAUCGCAUGAUGCAGUGUGAAAAACUCCGGUGGUAUAAGAUGGACCCGCGUUGGAUUAGCUAGUUGGUGAGGUAACGGCCCACCAAGGCGACGAUCCAUAGCCGACCUGAGAGGGUGACCGGCCACAUUGGGACUGAGACACGGCCCAAACUCCUACGGGAGGCAGCAGUGGGGAAUAUUGCACAAUGGGCGAAAGCCUGAUGCAGCGACGCCGGGUGAGCGAAGAAGUAUUUCGGUAUGUAAAGCUCUAUCAGCAGGGAAGAUAAUGACGGUACCUGACUAAGAAGCACCGGCUAAAUACGUG